GUUUAAUUAAACACAGCUGGACUCCAAUGAAGGAGUAGAACCAUCUCAAGGAGGAUCAGAAGAAAUGGACAGCAUUGAACCUUCAUCCGUACGGUGACACCGCCUUUCUUCCCUCCCACAUGAAACACUUGUGACCCGGCGCAUCGUUAUCUGGUCCUGUGGUGUCAACGUCACAGGAUGCAGGAGGAACCGAGAGGCAGAGCUAUGGACUAUUCCAGUGACGAGCAGGAGACUGUAAAUGUGGAUGAGCAUAAACGAGUGAAUGAGCAGAGAAAACCUCUGGACAAAAAGACAAGAGAGAAAUAGACCAGUAAUCUCUCCCCUACAGCGGCGUUUCUAUUUAUAGAGGUUGAAUGUCGCUUCACAUUAAGGUCGACGACAGACAUUUGCUGCCCUCUGCUGGAAAAGGGAUAAUUUGUAGUUUGUAGUAUAUGUUUAGAAACUACAGUAUUCUGGGAAUCAGCUCCUAAUCCUUCAUUUUUUACUUUUAUCAAGAAUAAUAGAAGCUUUUACGAGUUAAUAUUAAGAAUACACACUGCUACACUACACAUCCAUUAUCAUGCACUAUAAUCUUCACAUGGCACAGAAUAUAAUUCACUUAAUUGGACCAUGAACUCACUUUCACAAAUCCACCCACGCCGGAAGCAUCUGUCUCUUAAAGCUCAUAUGACAUGAAAAUAAGAAUAUGAAAAUGUAAGACUGUGUCCAUGCAUCUGGAGGGGGAAGAGUAAUCAGGCUUAAAAUCCAUCCAAUUACAUAUUGUUAUUCAACAAAGAGAUAAUCACACAAACAUGCCUCUCUGUCCUUCUUUGAAUGCUCAUUGUAUAAAUGGGAUUACAGAAAAAUGACAACAAUGUUGUUUUUAGUUAUAUUCAAAGUUGGAAACGUUGAAUUAAAUGUCAGGCUUUAAAUCCUGACAGUCUUUAUAUUUUUGUCGAGGAGAUUUUCA